GUGGGGAAUCUUCCGCAAUGGACGAAAGUCUGACGGAGCGACGCCGCGUGAGUGAAGAAGGCCUUCGGGUCGUAAAGCUCUGUCAUCAGGGACGAACGGCCGGUGGAGUGGAAAGCCACCGGAUUGACGGUACCUGAGAAGGAAGCCACGGCUAACUACGUGCCAGCAGCCGCGGUAAUACGUAGGUGGCAAGCGUUGUCCGGAAUUAUUGGGCGUAAAGCGCGCGCAGGUGGGAUCUUAAGUCCAUUUUGAAAGUUCGGAGCUCAACUCCGUGAUGGGAUGGAAACUGGGAUUCUUGAGUACCGGAGAGGAAAGCGGAAUUCCCCGUGUAGCGGUGAAAUGCGUAGAUAUGGGGAGGAACACCAGUGGCGAAGGCGGCUUUCUGGACGGUGUCUGACACUGAGGCGCGAAAGCUAGGGGGCGAACGGGAUUAGAAACCCGAGUAGUCC
rnacentral:rRNA from 1 species